ACGGAAGGCAGCAGUGGGGAAUAUUGCACAAUGGGCGAAAGCCUGAUGCAGCGACGCCGCGUGAGCGAAGAAGUAUUUCGGUAUGUAAAGCUCUAUCAGCAGGGAAGAUAAUGACGGUACCUGGCUAAGAAGCACCGGCUAAAUACGUGCCGGCAGCCGCGGUAAUACGUAUGGUGCAAGCGUUAUCCGGAUUUACUGGGUGUAAAGGGAGCGCAGGCGGUACGGCAAGUCUGAUGUGAAAGCCCGGGGCUCAACCCCGGUACUGCAUUGGAAACUGUCGAACUAGAGUGUCGGAGGGGUAAGUGGAAUUCCUAGUGUAGCGGUGAAAUGCGUAGAUAUUAGGAGGAACACCAGUGGCGAAGGCGGCUUACUGGACGACAACUGACGCUGAGGCUCGAAAGCGUGGGGAGCAAACAGGAUUAGAUACCCUGGUA
rnacentral:rRNA from 1 species